UCGUUAGCUCAGUUGGUAGAGCAUCGGACUUUUAAUCCGCUGGUCGCAGGUUCGAAUCCUGCACGAC
rnacentral:tRNA from 1 species